rnacentral:lncRNA from 1 species
UGACCAUAAUGUGGUGGCUUCUCUCCCUUAGGUGGUUUGCCAACUGGGGUUGGUGGCUUGUUUUCUGGGAGUGGCUUCUCUCCCUUGGGUGGUUUGCCAACUGGGGUUGGUGGCUUGUGUUCUGGGAGUGGCUUCUCCCCCUUGGGAGGUUUUUCGAAUGGGGUGGGUUUGUGUCCUGGUGGUGGCUUCUCUCCCUUGGGAGGUUUACCAAUUGGGGUCGGUGGCUUGUGUUCUGGGAGGGGCUUCUCUCCCUGGGGAGGUUUAGUGGGUGGCUUGUGUUCUGGAGGUGGCUUCUCCACCGGAGGCUUAUGCUCUGGUGGUGGCUUCUCGAAGGGGGGAUGCUCAGGGUAAUCACCAAGUGAGGGGGUGGUGAGAACCACCAUGCCAAGCAACAACACUAGCAAGUAUGUAGUAGACAUCUUUGGGUUUGGACUCAGACAGUGCAAAACUACGAGAAAUCGCUAGCCCUUUAUAGCGGCUCGGACCUAAUACUGACAUAAUAUAAAAUAAAUAUUAUAUUUUAUCAAGAGAGAACAGAGUGUAAUUUUAUCAUUAAUACCGAUCGAGGCCAAAGAAAGAAGACCCAUAAUCCAUUUCCCACAAGCAUACACAAUGCAGCUGUAAUUUUAUCAUUUACUUUUAUCCCUUGGACCACUGCAUUUUUGUUGAGAGACACAAUAACACAUUUUUAUCUGUCAUUCAACAUUUACAGUAAAGAGAGGGCACAAAACGCAAUUAGAUAAAUUAUGUUUUGCCUGCUAAAAAGAGGCAAAUAACUUUAUUUGCAACAUAAUUAUUUUGGUUUCUAGUGACCCCGGGGCCUUUCGGUUGGUUUGGGAUCGGAAAAUGAACAUCAUAGGGGGGGUUGUGCCCUUAUGGGCAUAUAUAUCUGAUAGCUUCAACUGGCCUUGUUCCUAGAAAGAAAUUGCCAAAGAUAUAAACUUAUUCCAGGCUGAAAGUAGAUGAGAGUCAUAAUGAACAUCAACCUUUGUUCAGUUUGAUUCAAUGCCCCCAUAGUGUUCAUUUCACAGAUCUGAAUGAUUAUAUCCGUUGAAUACAUAAAUUAAUGAAGACAAAUAUGAAACCCAAGAUACAUCUCUGCAUAACAACCCCAACCCUGGUUGCUAUGUUUCCCUUCUUCUAUUCACAUGAGGAUACUGGUUAUAAUUGUCAAACUUGCAACAAGCCCUUUGACACCUAACGUCAAUGGACGAAUUAAAAGUCUCCUUCAAACGUCUAUUUCACAGCAUGAAGCUUAUAAAGGAUGCUGACAACCUUCAGAGUUAGCGACAAAAGAUAAUUAUCAAGGAGAGAUAGUUCCAUGAGAAUUCCAAGGAGUCUGAAUCAAAGACAAAUUGCUCACUCAAGGGUUCUUAUUUUCUUUUAGGUACAAAUCUCUUGAGUGUUGUUAAAGAAACACGUCACUGUCAUUUUGAUUUGCAUUUAACAUUUCACUUUUGUUCUGGAAGGUUUGUUCCGGAAACAUAUCAAAUGAGCAUCAUUUUCUUCUUCGGUGACACAUGGUCGCGAGUACGUGGGUCCAUUUUCAUGCCACUUAGUUGAAAAGUUGGAAAGAAAAAACAUGCCAACAAGAAGAUAGUGAGAGAAGGGGCACUUCAAGCCUUUAACAUGAACAAACAGUAAAUAAAAGAUGUUUCUCCACUCAUAAAAGUGUGUUAGAUAGCAAUAUAACGAAUCACAUCCAAAAUCUUUACUAGGCUCAAACAUAAAGAAGACUCAUUUUUAAGAAAAGAUAAAAAUGGCAUUGUCUGAUAGUAUCCAAUACACGAGAUGGCACUUAAUUUGUACAAGAUCUGUCAAUGCUGACGCACAUUUUCUGAUUAAAAAAAAACUGAUCAGUCAAAAGCAAUGAAGAGAAGUGAUGACAAUGAAUGAUGCUUCCAAUAUUUUCACCCCUUAUAGUGUUCUUCAUGAUUCAGAUAUAUAAUUGGAAAUAGAACAACCCUAUGCCAUACAUUCGUCUAAGUAUGGUGUCUAAUUUUUUGUGUCAGCGGUUGCGAAUGGAGCGUGCAAAAGUCCAAAUUGGCGUCUCUCCAUUUCCACAUAGGAAGGUGACCUUUAUUGACAAAUACCCAAUAUUUGUAGACAUUCCUUAAAUAUCAUAACUUCUUGUUGAUUUGAAAAUCAUUUUUCAACUACCAUGUUUUAAUAAAUAUUUUUUAAAAUGUAUUUUUAUCAAAGUCCACCAUGAUGGAUAAUAUUCACCAUGCAAUAAUUAAUAAAGUACAAACUAAGCGAAAUGAAAAGCAUUUUCUUUGCUUUGAGUUGAUUUUGGUUGCAUUGAGUUGAUUUUGGUUUCAUGGUUUUUUCAACUCUUAUUUUGAUUGGAAGAUGUCAAGAAAAGAAAACAUAAAGAAAAAUUAAAAGGGAAAAAAGAAGAAAAAUAAAAAAAAAUAGAUUUAAAAGUUAAUAAAUUAUUUUUUAUAUUUAUUUUAAUUCAUUUCACUUAUUUUUCUUUUACUAUAUAAAAUUUAAAUAAUUUAAAUUUUAUAAUUAAUUUAAUUACAUUUCAUUUUCUUCUAUAUUUAAAUAUUGGAAAAAUAUUUUACUUAAUAUUUUUUUCUUUAAUUUCUUUGGCAUUUUGGGAACCAAACUUAGCCUUUAAAAUAAAAAACAAAAAAAAAAUGAAAAUAAGGAGGGAAAAGUGAGAAAAGAUAAAAACAAUAUGUAAAGGAUUUGAAAAGUAUUAGUUUGUAAUUACUAUUUGGAUUUCAAUAGUAUUUUAUUUGUCUUUCUAUAUUUCAUGUAAGAGAGAAUUUAAGAUAUUCCCCAAGGCAAAGCAUUAGUUACCUGCAAUCAGUGGUGAUAAGGCUCCAAGCCAAUUUUGGGCCCCAUAUCUUAAGACAGUACAAUUUCCAUUUCAACAUUUCUGAUUUCUCAGAUGUUUCACAUACCACAGAAGAACAUUGUUUGUGAAAAUAUGCAUUUAUGUUGGAUUUUGUAUGCUGUGGGGACUGGGGCAAGGAUCAUAUGGAAGAGUGGUUGACUUUUUCUGUACUUUAACGGUUGAAAUAGGAUAAGCACGGGCAUUUGUGAGGCUUAAUUGAUUUUGAAGCCUGAAAUUGCGUUUCUGUCAUUUUGUCAAAAAAAUGGCAGAUUCCAUACUCAUAUGUUUGGCCUGUGGCCAUGUACAGAUGCCAUUUAGUGACCAGUUUGUAACUGUCAAUCGUUGCGUUUUGACUCUGCCUCAACAACAUCUGCCAUUGACGGGUUUUCAUACUUGCAAAUCAAAUAGUCUUUCGUCCCAUCAGGAAUUUCGGUUUAAAUAUUAUUAAGCAUACGUUUGGCUGACAAUCAUUAUCCAGUUCAUGAUUUGGUUUCUUACCCUUAAUCAAUGGUUUCUAAGUGAAUAUAUGUAGAAGGAAAUCCGAAGUGUAGACAGUAGUAUCGAUAACUCUCAAUAUUCUCUAUAUAAUAGAAUAAACAGCGUCAUAGUGAUCGUCGCCUACAAGCAAGGUACAAAUACCAAAACGAGUGACUCACAUAGACAUCUCCCAACAAGAUGUAGUAGUGACUGACACAUGGACACAAUUAACUCGUAGAAAAGGAUAAGACCAUUGCACAGCAGCUCUUAUUUUACAUACUACUUAUGCUAACCAAAGUCAAUUAGUUGGGAUGGGUGGGAGAUGGAGGUUUGUGCGGUGGCUUGUGGGGCGGAGUUGAUGGCUUCUUUCCAGGAGCUUCUGGCUUUUUCAUCGGAGCUGAAGGAGGCUCAAUCUUAUGAGGCGGCUUGUAUGAGUCUUCUUUACUCUCGACAGGAGGGUGGCCAGGGUUGUGAUCAUAAUGUGGUGGCUUCUCUCCCUUAGGUGGCUUGCCAACUGGGGUUGGUGGCUUGUGUUCAGGAAGUGGUUUCUCUCCCAUGGGAGGUUUAGCAAUUGGGGUUGGUGGCUUGUGUUCUGGGAGUGGCUUCUCUCCCUUGGGAGGUUUAGUAGGUGACUUGUGUUCUGGAGGUGGCUUCUCCACCGGAGGCUUGUGCUCCGGUGGUGGCUUCUUGGUUGGAGGGGGCUUGGGGUAAUCAGCAAGAGAUGGGGUGGUGAGAACCACCAGUCCAAGGAACAACACUAGCAAGUAUGUGGGAGACAUUUUUGAGUUUGGGCUGAUCAGAUGAUGCAAAACUAAAGCAUUACGUGACCUUUUAUAGCAUGUAGCUCCCAAUACCCACUAAGUAUUGUGGGGUCCAUUUGUGCCCUACGGGGUUGAAAACUUAGACAAUUGGGCAAGGACCCACCUGACUAUGGAGGACUAGUGAGGUGUGAUCAUAGCUUUAGGAUUUUUCUUCCUCUGCAGCCGUCGUGCCGUUGGCAUGAUUUUCUUAAUCUUAAAUAAAGGCAUAGUUAUAGAGUUGUUUAAUCUCUAAAUGGGAUUUUAUAUAUAUCUUCAGAUAGCCAUUAAUAUAUUUGAUGAAGAAAGAAAGACAAGUGCAUACAACAUGUAUACGACUAGCUUUCAUGGAGUUCAUUUAUGAUCAGUUUUCCUGUACAUGUAAACCAGGAUCAUAUAUAUGUUUCUGUUCCACAACUAUUUUGGAAUCUUGUUUAUCAGUUUUUAUCAUUAUAAUGUCACAUAGGCUGCCAACUUGGGCGCUAAAAGAACCAGUUGGGCUAGUUCGUUUCAGAAUUUCAAUGUGGAUUCAGGAAUUGUUUUGUAAGAUAUGCGAAAUAGUAGAGGGAUGAAUAGUGUUUCAUUAAUAAAAGUGUCCUGUAAAUUAGAAGGUGUCAUAGAAACUAUAAUCAAUAAAUAACUUUUUUUCCCCACGGGUGGUGUUUCUUGUGGGGAUCAGUGACUGGUUUAGGUUCACCCAAAAUGAGUUCAGACUAAAAUUGGUUUGAGUCAAUGCCGUGUCUCUUUUUUCCAGAAAUCAACUAUUUUAUGCAUUGAAUAAAUCAUACAAAGAAAAUAUGAACGCCCGCAAAACCUAAACCCUGGUUGCUAACUUUCUAUGUUUCAGUUCUAUUCACGCAAGAAUAUUAGUUUAAGUUUGGGAAAAAUGGCAACUUACCUAGUGAUUACUUGGUUUUGGUUUGCGACUAUUUACGCAACCAACCAUGAGUUUGACUUUAACGUCAUGGGUUGAAGCCUCCUACAGGAAGGGAGAAAGCUCCACAGCUAGCUCCAAAAGAGAAUUAUCACAUUGAUAGCUCCAGAGAUUCCCAAGGGGACUGAAUCAAAGACAAGUUCCUCACUUUUUCUUCUUUUGAGGCCAAAUAUGAACCAAGGAUCACACAACCUCAUUCAACUUCAUAAGUUUGAUUUCAUGCAGUUGAACACUGGGUGAAGGCCAUGACAAGAAUUGAUUCAAAAAUUCUAUCACUCUUUUAAGUAAUGGAAGAUUAUUAUCUCUGAUUGGCAUCACAACAGCACAUGCUCCUAGAUCUUUCUAGACACUCCAUGCAAUGAAAGCACAAUGGAUCUUGUAACGAUAGAAACUAAGCCAUGCUACAGUACUAGAUGAUGAGGUAAAACUAGUAGACACGGGUGGCAGCCUAUAUGGGAGGGACACAAGUCUAAUUGAUUUGCAUUUCAGCAUUAUAGAUAGGUAUGUUUUGGAAGAUUUGUUCUGGAAAUACCGCACCAAGUAGGAUUCUUUUUCUCUUUAGUGGGUCCACUUGCAUGCCAAUUAACGAGUUGAAAAGUAUGAGCACCUACCUCGUGCUCGUGGAACCGAAGGUCAGUGAAGUGGGGCUCCUUUUGGCCUCGUGUAAACUUGAUUCAGAAGUGAAGUUAAUAGUCUUCCAUUCAGAUGGAUACAUGGGAAUUUUUCUCUUUUAUUUAUUUAUUUAUUUUUUUUUUGUGUGUGUAUGUCAAAGGAUAAUGAAUGAAGCGCGUUAGCUUGUUUUCUGACUGGAACCGCAGAUGUCCAAAUUGGAGUUCCUUCAUUUCUUACUUAGGAUUGUUACAUGUAUAAACAAGGUAUAAGAAAUAUGCCAACGUGUCUUGAGGAGUUAUUGAUUAGAAAUAACAAGUCACCCGACUGUAGAGUUCCAAGAUUUGAAUCUUCAGACCCUAUAGCAGCCUCUGGGGUACGUGGCAUCCUAUAGCAUAUUAAUGAAGGCUUUUUCGAUUUAGACUUCACAAUACCAAUUAAUAUGUAUGCACAAAAUGGAGAUGACCCCAAAAAAAACAGAAUCGCCAUAGUUUAUGAGGUUAAGGUGAUUCUCCACUUAAUAUCUACAUUAGCUAAUUAUGUAAAUCAAAUGAACUUCUAUUUUUCCUUUUUUUUUUUGGUUUAUGUCAAAUAGUAGCCCAUAAUUAACCCAACCAUUAGCCUGUUUGAAUUGAUUUCACAUGCACAAUGUUGUAGUAGUUCAUAUUUUGAAUUUUAUUUUUACAAAGGUAGUUAAGGAAAAUGAAGUAUAAUAAUUAUAAAAGCAGACUAUAUACACUACAAUAAUUGUUAGAAUGGUAUCUCAAAUUCUAAUUUAAAAUAUUAUUUUUUGUAAAAGAAAUAUUAUAUAGAAUAUUUCCUAAUUUUAUAAAUGAUUAUAAUUAGAUCUUUAUAAAAUAAGGAAAGUUGGUAAGAAUAUCUUUAUAAAUAUUUUAGGUCAUGAGAGAAAGAAAUGGGAUAAAAAUGUGAUGAAGAGGUGAAAUAAGAGAGUUGAUUAGGAUAUAGAUGUGAAGAAGAAAGGGAUUCAAUAUAUAUAUAUCUUUCAAUUACCACAUUAAAACCCUGUGAACCUUUUAUAUGGUUUACUUUAUUUUUAUAUUCCUCCUUUAAUAUAUUUACAUUAAUGCUUCCAUUGGCACAACAAUAACGAAUUACAAAUACAAGCAACAAGUCCCAUGUUUUAUUACCAAAAGCAGGUAAAAUCCACCUAAUAUAUUACAAUAUAUUCAUCCAAUAUUUUAGACCAAUUCUUCACCAUAAAUAUCAUAAUGUGGCUUUUGUUCUUUCUUAAAUUUAAAUUGAAUUGUCUUAUAUCAAUUUGUUUGUGAUUUUUUCAUUAACUUCACUUUCAUUUGGUUAUCUUUGGUUUUUGAAAAGUAUUAAGGAAUUAAUUAACAAAAUAAUGUUAAGAAAAAUAAUUUUCUCUCUUUUGAUUUUGAUUUUGUAGUAGAAAAAUAUAAUUAAAAUUAUUUAAAAAGUAUGUAAUUUUAAAUUAUUUAAUAUUUAGAUAAAAAAAAUAAGUCUAAUGAGUUUAAAAUAACAUAUAAAAAUAAUUUAUUUAUUUUAAAUUUAUUUUUUAUUUUCCAUUAUGUUCUCUUUCUCUUUUACUUUUUCAUAUUUUUUCUUACGAAGAAUCAAACACAACCUCAUAUUAUAUGUCAAGUGUUUGUCUAUAUUUGAGCAAUGUUAGAUACGGCCAUGGAUUCAUCAAACUAAACUGAUUUUAAUAGAUACUUCACAAAUUGAUUUAUACACUAAAUCAUUGGAUAGCAAUGAUGCAUUGGAAUUAAACGUAGGAUGAAGCUCGAAGAACACUGUUUGUGUAACAACAUAUUUAUGAAAUUAUGCAAAGGAUGAGCUUCGGGGUAGUAGUACAAGGUCAUUAAUGGAGAGCCGUGUUAAACCUUGAUUGUGAUUGGAUUCCGUUAUCAGCAACAGCAACCUUGUUUGUAACCUUGAAAGUCAUUCUGUCCACAUCGAAACUCCAAUUUGACGUUUGUAAUUACCAUUCCUGGAGUGUUCCUUGAUUGAAAUUUAAAUAAUAAUUGCGGCCCACAAGGAAUAUUUUCGAUUCUGUGGGAAUUUGACAAGGUUUGUUAGAGAAGACUGGUGACAUGUUGACUUCAAUGGUUCAAAUAGGAGACGUAUGUGGAUUUGGGGGGUUUAAUUGAAACUGAGUCCCUAUGGCUUUUUAAUAUUUGCAUUGAGCAGUCUCCAUGUGACUUCCUAAUUCCCACCAACCCUCCUGUCCAUGCUGUGAAACUAAAUUGUAAUUUAUCAGCCUUUGUCAAUGGUUUCUAAAUUAAAGAUAUAGACCAUGCAUGUACUUUAAUAAAAGCAAAUCUAAAGUGUAGAUAGCAGCAAUGGUGACACCCAAUAUUCUCCAUAAAAUAGAAUUAGAAUAAGCAGUGUUACAUUGUUCAUGAUCACCUACAAGCAUACAAGAACUUCCAUGAAUAACUCAUAGCAAUUGCCAACAGGGCGUCGUAGAGACUCAUACAUAGAACACUAUCCACCCAGAGGAAAGGACAAGACCAGUGCGCUGCAGCUCUUAUUUUUCACAUGUAUACCACCACUCGUAAUAACCAAAUUCACUCAGUUGGGAUAGGUGGGAGAUGGUGGUUUGUGGGGUGGCUUGUGGGGAGGAGUUGGAGGAGGCUUUAUUUUCUGAGGCGGCUUGUAUGAGUGUGCAGGAGGAUGCCCGGGAGUGUGACCAUAAUGUGGUGGCUUCUCUCCCGUAGGUGGUUUGCCAAAUGGGCUUGGUGGCUUCUCUCCCUUAGGAGGUUUACCAAUUGGGGUUGGUGGCUUGUGUUCUGGGAGUGGUUUCUCUCCCUUGGUAGGUUUGCCAAUUGGGGUUGGCGGCUUAUGUUCUGGGAGUGGCUUCUCUCCCUUGGGAGGUUUGCUAAUUGGGGUUGGCGGCUUAUGUUCUGGGGGCGGCUUCUCUCCCUUGGGAGGUUUGCCAAUUGGAGUUGGCGGCUUAUGUUCUGGGAGUGGCUUUUCUCCCUUGGGAGGCUUGCCAAUUGGGGUUGGCGGCUUAUGUUCUGGGGGUGGCUUCUCUCCUUUAGGAGGUUUGCCAAUUGGAGUCGGCGGCUUAUGUUCUGGAAGUGGCUUUUUUCCCUUGGGAGGUUUGCCAAUUGGGGUUGGCGGCUUAUGUUCUGGGGGUGGCUUCUCUCCCUUGGGAGGUUUGCCAAUUGGAGUCGGCGGCUUAUGUUCUGGGAGUGGCUUCUCUCCCUUGGGAGGUUUUGUUGGUGGCUUGUGUUCUGGAGAUGGCUUCUCCCCUGGAGGCUUGUGCUCCGGAGGUGGCUUCUGAAAUGGCGGGGGCUUGGGGUAAUGAGCAAGAGAUGGAGUACUGGUGAGAACCACCAUUCCAAGCAACAAUACUAGCAAGCAUGUGGGAGACAUCUUUGAGUAGUUGUAGCUAAGAUGGCGCAACACUGUAGGCAUUGGGUGGCCUUUUAUAAAGGGCUGGACCCAACAGCCAUAUGACACGUGUCAUGAUGACAAAUGA